AACUUACUUCAAGGCAUUGCAUGUAUUCAGCAAUUUCCUUUGCAAUCCUACUCUAUUUUACAGCCUAAUCUAUUCCCAACUAAGAUGUGCUAGAGAUAAACAUUGCAGAUGCCUUUUUGUGCAGAGGGGAAGGAGAGGCAAUUAAAAGUCUGCAUGCUGUGAAGUCUCUGGGUGCCAACAGUGUCUGCACAGAUUUUUACAAUGUUUUAGGGAACAAUUGGAUUUUCCGCUGUCUGGGAUGAGUGAACGCAAAUUGUUUUUGAACAAGGACAGUAACAGUUAUUUUCGCUCUGGCUGAAGUCCUGCUGGUUUGCAUAAAGGUUUCCAUUUUUAUUUACUGAUAUCAAAGUCUUGGUGACCGAGUGGCUCCUCCAGAUCAGAUGAUAUUUUAUUAGAACGCAUCAUUUAAUUUCCGACAAAGAAAGAGCAAACUUUUGAUAAUGCAGUGCAAAAACCUGGGGUAGGGCAGUAUCUUGUAUUGGCCUCCAUCAAAGACAAGGAAAAGCACAAAAGGACAAAACUGCCGGCCGUGGUCUGAAUCAAACGGGGUUGCCUCCAAGAGUAGCAAGUGAGAGGGCUUUUCUUUCUUUUAACUUGCUCCCUCCUACAUCAUUACUGGGCUAAGUAAGACAAGAAUUUUCUUUGGAAUAAUAAUAAAUGGGAUAAUUUGCUUCAAGAAAAGCUAGUUCCACAUAGGAGACAGUUAAAGCCGCUCCAUGGGAGCUUUAUUUACUUUUUUCUUCAAAAAAUUUUCAUAAUUCAAAUUCUAAAAGCAAGCAGCCAUUGCAAGGAAAAGGGAAACAACAAAAUGUUGUGUUUGCUUGUCAUCGCAGACCUUUUAUACUUACGUAACUUCACUCCUAUGUGCAGUUUCUUGGAUGCAAGUAUUGCUUGUCCAAAACAUGGAUUUUUGGUCUCAGAUCUGUUCAGUCGAAUAUUCCUUUUCUUAUUUUAGAUAAACUUAAUAAAGCAGUAUACAUUGUUACUUAUAUAGUAUGCACAGUAUAUAGACAUAUUAUAUAUUACUUAUAUAAUAAGUAUGUUGUUACUUAGAUAGGUAUAAAAUUUACCUAUAACUCUUAAGUAAAAGUUUUUUUCCAUUGCUUACUAUGCCAUGUAUUACUAUAUAUGUUACCACACGUGUAGCUGGAGUGGGGCUUGGUUGUCAGACAUUAAGAUGACUUUGAACUUGCAGUAGCUGAUAAGUAUUUUAUAGUUUCAGGUGUUGGCAAAUUCACAAGCAGCCAAACAUCGGGAAGUAUAACUUGACUUUGCAAAUUUAAAUUAAAACUUGCAUAUUGCCUUACAGGGAACUUGCCUUUGUGUAAAAUAACUUCUGCAUCUGCUUCUGUGGUGAGAGAGCACAGCCAAAAGUUUUAAAGAGGUAUCAAAAACUAUAGAACCAUUUACAUUGGAAAGAACUUCCCCUUAAGAACCAUUAACCCAGAACUGCCAAGCCCACCACUAAACCAUGUCCCUAAGUGCCACAAGUGUCUUUUAAAUAAAUAGUAGCUGCCUGAGAUACUUGAUGCUAUAUAUCUACUACACUGGGAUUCUUACAUUGGGAAGCUAUGAUGUAACUUGAAGUUAAAAAAAUCUCAUUAGCAGGAGCACACAUUCCCUUAAACUAACUAAAGUAGUUGUGCAGUGUUAUUUGAUUUCAAAAUGUAAACUUUGGAUUCUUGUGCUGUGGCCUAUAUAAGAGCAAAGAAGGUAACAAAAAAUAUUUUAAAAUUCUGGAAUGAAUUUUGAGAUACUAAUUAGUAUUUAAUAGGUGCCCAAGGAUAUUAUGCCACAAGACUCACUAACAAUUAGUGGGUCUUGUGCUCUGCUUGCUGUUGCUCUGCUUUUUAAGAUUCAGAAUUCUGCAUGCAUUUCUCAAAGGCCUAGCUCCUGAAAACAGGGCAUUUUCUUUGUCUUUCUUCCCCCUACCCUCUGAAGUUACAUUUCUGUUUCUUGUAAAGAAAAGGCUGAAAGUGCAAAAGCAAGUAGAAAGGCUCAGAAAUGCCAAUAUAAAUAAUUCUAAAUAUUUUUCAUGAUUUAACAACAGUCUCACACUUCAUGCUUGGCCUGAUGUGUGUCUUUUUCAAUGCCUGAAGCUGGUCAUGGUCAAAGUCCCGUUGUUAAAAAUUUCACACUGUGUUACGCUUCAGUAAAGUCAGAUGCAGUGACGGCUCUAAGAAAGGCACCCAUAAUCUGUGGCUGUAGGACAUAACAGGCUUUCUGUAAAGUGUACUUAAAUUCCUCUCUUAGUACCUUUAGCAACUACACCCAGCUUUCCACAGCCAUUACUCAGAACUGCCAAGGAAGCCCCCUCUAGUCCAGCCUCAGUGUGAUCUGCGGGUGUCAGGGGACAAGGUGUGGUUUGGAGACAGAAUUCUGAAGCUUCCAGGCCAGCAAAAGCUGGAAGCCCUGUGGGAUGGCAGGGGAAGGAGGGACUGUUGACUCCAGGGAGGGAGAGCAUGCAGCAUCAAUACAUGGCCUGUCUUCUGCCAGAAGAAGUAUCAACCUGACAUGAUGCAUCCCAGAAUCAGGAAUCUUAGAGGAACAAGCAAUUUCAGGGCUGAAAAAGGCUCCAAGGGAUCUCCUUUCAUCGCAAUGUAUUUAUUUACUGCAGGUGAAUGCAGGAAAGGUAAAUGGGAAGAUGACUAAACAGAAGGGGUUUGUAGUACUUGCAGAGCUUGCUUUGGAGUCUGAAAGGCCAAAACUAUGAUCACAACAUCUAGCUGAAGACUGAGGAUGUGAUUUAGGAAUGGAACAAUUUAUCAGACUGAAUCUAAAGAUAGAAGUAAGUAUGCUGUAUAAAGGGCAGGACGAAGAUAUUUUAAUAAAACAAGCUGAUCAAGAGAGAAUAAGCAACUGACAACAUCCAGAGGAAUUUUUCCAAGAGGAGAACAUCAGAAAAGCAGCCCAAAUGCAGAUGCUGCCAAGCCCCGCGUCUGAUUUCAGUCCUGAUCUGGAAUAAUUCCAGGGGUGUGCACAAAGCCAUCUCCUUUCCUAACGGAGUGGUGGCAGGGAGGAGACUCAAAACUAUUGUUCUCCCUCCCUGUGUCCCUCCUGCAGCAGCAGCCAACAUUGUUCCUUUUUAUUUACUUCCCCCUCUCUGUAAACCAGCAGGGCUUGCAGCAGAGGGAUGCAGCUCUCCUCAUUAAAGUAAUUAGGCUGAUUUAUGAGAGAGUGGCACAGUGAAGGAGAGCUUUCCUAAUACAGUGUUCCCCACGGGAGGCUGGGCACCCACCCAGCUGCUGGCAGUGCAGUGCGGGGCCUCCCUGCCAGCUCGGAAUGGAGGGCCCCCAUCUCUUCGACCUUUAAUAUCAGUGAAAAUGGACAAACACAUGCAAUAAACACUUUCUUCCUUCAUGUGAUAUUCUUCACAAGUUGUAUGUUACAAGUUAGUAUUAGAAGCCUAAUUAAAGUAAUUAGAGGAGAGGGAUCCUUCCUUAGUGUUAACUAGUGUGAGUUUUGGCCUCUAAAGGACUCCUCAAGCCACUUUGCUGUGUCACUGGAACAGCAAGAGCUGAUAGGGCUUUGUUCCUCUCCUGCUCUGUGGAAAUUUUGCAUUAUUUCUAAGAAAGGCUUUUGUAUGAUGAGUUAGGAAAUUUCCUUCUUCCAGGGAAAAUGUUCUGAAUAUCUGUUGUUCAUCACAUUUCCUUGAUAUCUUCAUGGCAACAUACAAUGUGUCCCUGGGAAGUCCUGCUGCACUUUGGAAGUCCCAUUUAAAAUGUACAUGGGCCUAUUUAAAAACACAUUUAAGCUUUUAAAAAUUUAUUACAUGAGCAAACGAAAAAUAAAAUAUCGUUAACAAU